rnacentral:antisense_RNA from 1 species
CUGAGGAGUGAAGAGCUCCAGGGAUUUCACUCUUCUUUCUGUGUGUGAAGGAAGGCAGGUUUAUUUGCAAGAUGGGUUUGAGGGAAUUAAGGAUAAAGUCUGCUGACAGUAGAACCAACACCUGGAUUAAAAGGGAUGUUUGGAUGAAGCUUCAAUCUCAAGAAGAGGCAAGAGAAAACUAAAGAAAAAGAGACAAGAAGGUAGUUGAGAAGCUGUGAACCUGCAUUGCAUUCUAGUGGUGGGACACACGGAAGGGGAAGCUGAAGUUGAAGGGUGGAUGGUAGUAGCCGCAGGGAGUGAGAUGGGCUUGUUUCUGGAGCUGAUGGGAGACAAAAAGGGAGUCAAACGGGAAUUCACACAGGGUUGUGCAUUAUAUCCAAGUGUGUAUUCGGAUACAAGCCUUUAUCUCAAUACCUUCCUUACCCCCAUUCUGCACAUAUUUCAUACCAAAGUACAAAUAAAACCAUUCCCAAUUGUUCUAAUA